CGUAGGGGGCAAGCGUUGUCCGGAAUUAUUGGGCGUAAAGGGCGCGUAGGCGGAUAGUUAAGUCCGGUGUGAAAGAUCAGGGCUCAACCCUGAGAGUGCAUCGGAAACUGGUUAUCUUGAGGACAGGAGAGGAAAGUGGAAUUCCACGUGUAGCGGUGAAAUGCGUAGAUAUGUGGAGGAACACCAGUGGCGAAGGCGACUUUCUGGACUGUAACUGACGCUGAGGCGCGAAAGCGUGGGGAGCAAACAGGAUUAGAUACCCUGGUAGUCCACGCUGUAAACGAUGAGUGCUAGGUGUAGAGGGUAUCGACCCCUUCUGUGCCGCAGUUAACACAAUAAGCAAUCCGCCUGGGGAGUACGGUCGCAAGGCUG
rnacentral:rRNA from 1 species